GGUUAAGCGACUAAGCGUACACGGUGGAUGCCCUGGCAGUCAGAGGCGAUGAAGGACGUGCUAAUCUGCGAAAAGCGUCGGUAAGGUGAUAUGAACCGUUAUAACCGGCGAUGUCCGAAUGGGGAAACCCAGUGCAAUUCGUUGCACUAUCGUUAACUGAAUACAUAGGUUAACGAGGCGAACCGGGGGAACUGAAACAUCUAAGUACCCCGAGGAAAAGAAAUCAACCGAGAUUCCCCCAGUAGCGGCGAGCGAACGGGGAGCAGCCCAGAGUCUGAAUCAGCUUGUGUGUUAGUGGAACGGUCUGGAAAGUCCGACGGUACAGGGUGAUAGUCCCGUACACCAAAAUGCACAGGUUGUGAACUCGAAGAGUAGGGCGGGACACGUGGUAUCCUGUCUGAAUAUGGGGGGACCAUCCUCCAAGGCUAAAUACUCCUGACUGACCGAUAGUGAACCAGUACCGUGAGGGAAAGGCGAAAAGAACCCCGGCGAGGGGAGUGAAAAAGAACCUGAAACCGUGUACGUACAAGCAGUGGGAGCACCUUCGGGUGUGACUGCGUACCUUUUGUAUAAUGGGUCAGCGACUUAUAUUCUGUAGCAAGGUUAACCGUAUAGGGGAGCCGCAGGGAAACCGAGUCUUAACUGGGCGUUAAGUUGCAGGGUAUAGACCCGAAACCCGGUGAUCUAGCCAUGGGCAGGUUGAAGGUUGGGUAACACUAACUGGAGGACCGAACCGACUAAUGUUGAAAAAUUAGCGGAUGACUUGUGGCUGGGGGUGAAAGGCCAAUCAAACCGGGAGAUAGCUGGUUCUCCCCGAAAGCUAUUUAGGUAGCGCCUCGUGAACUCAUCUUCGGGGGUAGAGCACUGUUUCGGCUAGGGGGUCAUCCCGACUUACCAACCCGAUGCAAACUACGAAUACCGAAGAAUGUUAUCACGGGAGACACACGGCGGGUGCUAACGUCCGUCGUGAAGAGGGAAACAACCCAGACCGCCAGCUAAGGUCCCAAAGUCAUGGUUAAGUGGGAAACGAUGUGGGAAGGCACAGACAGCCAGGAUGUUGGCUUAGAAGCAGCCAUCAUUUAAAGAAAGCGUAAUAGCUCACUGGUCGAGUCGGCCUGCGCGGAAGAUGUAACGGGGCUAAACCAUGCACCGAAGCUGCGGCAGCGACACUAUGUGUUGUUGGGUAGGGGAGCGUUCUGUAAGCCUGCGAAGGUGUGCUGUGAGGCAUGCUGGAGGUAUCAGAAGUGCGAAUGCUGACAUAAGUAACGAUAAAGCGGGUGAAAAGCCCGCUCGCCGGAAGACCAAGGGUUCCUGUCCAACGUUAAUCGGGGCAGGGUGAGUCGACCCCUAAGGCGAGGCCGAAAGGCGUAGUCGAUGGGAAACAGGUUAAUAUUCCUGUACUUGGUGUUACUGCGAAGGGGGACGGAGAAGGCUAUGUUAGCCGGGCGACGGUUGUCCCGGUUUAAGCAUGUAGGCUGAUUGUCCAGGCAAAUCCGGAUAAUCAAGGCUGAGGUGUGAUGACGAGGCACUACGGUGCUGAAGUAACAAAUGCCCUGCUUCCAGGAAAAGCCUCUAAGCAUCAGGUAACAUUAAAUCGUACCCCAAACCGACACAGGUGGUCAGGUAGAGAAUACCAAGGCGCUUGAGAGAACUCGGGUGAAGGAACUAGGCAAAAUGGUGCCGUAACUUCGGGAGAAGGCACGCUGGUGUGUAGGUGAAGUCCCUGCGGAUGGAGCUGAGACCAGUCGAAGAUACCAGCUGGCUGCAACUGUUUAUUAAAAACACAGCACUGUGCAAACACGAAAGUGGACGUAUACGGUGUGACGCCUGCCCGGUGCCGGAAGGUUAAUUGAUGGGGUUAUCCGUAAGGAGAAGCUCUUGAUCGAAGCCCCGGUAAACGGCGGCCGUAACUAUAACGGUCCUAAGGUAGCGAAAUUCCUUGUCGGGUAAGUUCCGACCUGCACGAAUGGCGUAAUGAUGGCCAGGCUGUCUCCACCCGAGACUCAGUGAAAUUGAACUCGCUGUGAAGAUGCAGUGUACCCGCGGCAAGACGGAAAGACCCCGUGAACCUUUACUAUAGCUUGACACUGAACAUUGAGCCUUGAUGUGUAGGAUAGGUGGGAGGCUUUGAAGCGUGGACGCCAGUCUGCGUGGAGCCAACCUUGAAAUACCACCCUUUAAUGUUUGAUGUUCUAACGUUGGCCCCUGACCGGGGUUGCGGACAGUGUCUGGUGGGUAGUUUGACUGGGGCGGUCUCCUCCCAAAGCGUAACGGAGGAGCACGAAGGUUAGCUAAUCCUGGUCGGACAUCAGGAGGUUAGUGCAAUGGCAUAAGCUAGCUUGACUGCGAGCGUGACGGCGCGAGCAGGUGCGAAAGCAGGUCAUAGUGAUCCGGUGGUUCUGAAUGGAAGGGCCAUCGCUCAACGGAUAAAAGGUACUCCGGGGAUAACAGGCUGAUACCGCCCAAGAGUUCAUAUCGACGGCGGUGUUUGGCACCUCGAUGUCGGCUCAUCACAUCCUGGGGCUGAAGUAGGUCCCAAGGGUAUGGCUGUUCGCCAUUUAAAGUGGUACGCGAGCUGGGUUUAGAACGUCGUGAGACAGUUCGGUCCCUAUCUGCCGUGGGCGCUGGAGAAUUGAGGGGGCUGCUCCUAGUACGAGAGGACCGGAGUGGACGCAUCACUGGUGUUCGGGUUGUCAUGCCAAUGGCACUGCCCGGUAGCUAAAUGCGGAAGAGAUAAGUGCUGAAAGCAUCUAAGCACGAAACUUGCCCCGAGAUGAGUUCUCCCUGAGACUUUAAGUCUCCUGAAGGAACGUUGAAGACGACGACGUUGAUAGGCCGGGUGUGUAAGCGCAGCGAUGCGUUGAGCUAACCGGUACUAAUGAACCGUGAGGCUUAACCUU
rnacentral:rRNA from 1 species